GGAGAGGUGCAGGAGCGGUUUAACUGGCGCGCCUGGAGAGCGCGUGUCCCUUUACCGGGACCGUGGGUUCGAAUCCCACCCUCUCCGCCA
rnacentral:tRNA from 1 species